rnacentral:rRNA from 1 species
CGAAGGUAGCGAAAUCACUUGUCUCCUAAAUAGAGACCUGUAUGAAAGGCCCAAUGAGAAAGAAACUGUCUCUUGAAGUUAGCCAGUGAAACUGAUCUGCCCGUGCAAAAGCAGGCAUAACAAAACAAGACAAAAAGACCCUGUGAAACUUAAAAUAAACGCCAAUAACAUGUCGAUAUUUUUAGGUUGGGGCAACCAAAGAGAAACAAAACCUCUAAAAUACAUUAGACUAACAAGUCUAACCAAACCAACAUGACCCAGUAAAACUGAUUAAUGAACCAAGCUACUCCAGGGAUAACAGCGCCAAAUUCUUGAAGAGUCCACAUCAACAAGAAUCCCUACGACCUCGAUGUUGGAUCAGGAUAACCCAACAGCGCACAAGCUGCUAACGGUUCGUUUGUUCA